rnacentral:tRNA from 1 species
AGUAAAAUGACUGAAUUUAGGUGAUAAAUUGUAAAUUUAUUUAUAAGAUGAGUAUUCUUUUUUACUA